rnacentral:rRNA from 1 species
GACGAACGCUGGCGGCGUGCCUAAUACAUGCAAGUCGAGCGAAGUUUUUCUGGUGCUUGCACUUGAAAAACUUAGCGGCGAACGGGUGAGUAACACGUAAAGAACCUGCCCCAUAGACUGGGACAACUAUUGGAAACGAUAGCUAAUACCGGAUAACAGUAUUUCUCGCAUGAGAGAUAUUUAAAAGUUGGUUAUGCUAACACUAUGAGAUGGCUUUGCGGUGCAUUAGCUAGUUGGUGGGGUAAAGGCCCACCAAGGCGACGAUGCAUAGCCGACCUGAGAGGAUGAUCGGCCACACUGGGACUGAGACACGGCCCAGACUCCUACGGGAGGCAGCAGUAGGGAAUCUUCCGCAAUGGGCGAGAGCCUGACGGAGCAACGCCGCGUGAGUGAAGAAGGAUUUCGGUUCGUAAAGCUCUGUUGUUAGGGAAGAAUGGAUAUGUAGUAACUAUACAUGUAAGAGACGGUACCUAACCAGAAAGCCACGGCUAACUACGUG